rnacentral:misc_RNA from 1 species
CACUUGUUGAUUUGAGCGUAUUCACACGGAUACAAGAGUAACAUGAUGGGCGCGUGAGAGCAGUUGAAAUCCGAGAGAAAUGAUCAGCUCCGUAAGCUUUGAUGAAGUAUUCUUCAACCGUAGGGUUCCAUUUCAAAGUUGGACUGUAAUGGUAACGCGUUGAUUGAUCCAUCUGAGAAAUGGAAGUGUUGCUGUGGAGAGUGAAGAAGCUUCUACGAAUGGCUUUGAUGAAG